rnacentral:rRNA from 1 species
GAUGAACGCUAGCUACAGGCUUAACACAUGCAAGUCGAGGGGCAGCGGGAUUGAAGCUUGCUUCAAUUGCCGGCGACCGGCGCACGGGUGAGUAACGCGUAUCCAACCUUCCGUACACUCAGGGAUAGCCUUUCGAAAGAAAGAUUAAUACCUGAUGGUAUGAUGAGAUCGCAUGGUAUCAUCAUUAAAGAUUUAUCGGUGUACGAUGGGGAUGCGUUCCAUUAGGUAGUAGGCGGGGUAACGGCCCACCUAGCCUACGAUGGAUAGGGGUUCUGAGAGGAAGGUCCCCCACAUUGGAACUGAGACACGGUCCAAACUCCUACGGGAGGCAGCAGUGAGGAAUAUUGGUCAAUGGACGAGAGUCUGAACCAGCCAAGUAGCGUGAAGGAUGAAGGUCCUACGGAUUGUAAACUUCUUUUUAAUAAGGGAAUAAAACCUCCCACGUGUGGGAGCUUGUAUGUACCUUAUGAAUAAGCAUCGGCUAACUCCGUGCCAGCAGCCG